rnacentral:lncRNA from 1 species
CAUACAGCUAGCGAUCCUUAGAGAUGAUGUGUAACGACCCAGCCCACUGGCAACAAUAACUCGUUGGGCCCAAUACCGACCCAAAAUGCUUAAGCCCAGUUAUUAUUACUAGUGUCUAAGUCUCUUAUAUACCCAAUCACAUCCCUAUUCAUAUCCGAUGUGGGAUUAUUAGGGUGUGACAUACUCCCCCCAUUAAGACCCUGACGUCCUC